rnacentral:rRNA from 1 species
CAUCGCCGCGGUAAAACGUAGGUGGCAAGCGUUGUCCGGAAUUAUUGGGCGUAAAGGGCUCGCAGGCGGUUUCUUAAGUCUGAUGUGAAAGCCCCCGGCUCAACCGGGGAGGGUCAUUGGAAACUGGGAAACUUGAAUGCAGAAGAGGAGAGUGGAAUUCCACGUGUAGCGGUGAAAUGCGUAGAGAUGUGGAGGAACACCAGUGGCGAAGGCGACUCUCUGGUCUGUAACUGACGCUGAGGAGCGAAAGCGUGGGGAGCGAACAGGAUUAGAUACCCCAGUAGUCCCUGUCUCUUAUACA